CAGCCUAGACCUAGGCCUUCUAGUCUUAUUUAUAUUUUUUAGUAUUCAGCGGUUUUUCACAUGAAAAGACUGGGACUAGGUGAUUUGGGGGCGGGGCGGAGGAAGCAAUCCUAGAAGGCCUAGUUGAUUUCCCAACAACAAGGCCAAAACUGCCCUGAAACUGCCCUGGUUGCGAAAUGCCCAAUUAUUGCGUUCUCAAACAGAAUUAUUUGCAACUUAACGGCGAAUUUAAACCGAUACAGGUAAAAUAAACUCAUUUAUAGUAUAAACUUACUUUUUUAUU